rnacentral:rRNA from 1 species
GAUGAACGCUGGCGGCGUGCCUAAUACAUGCAAGUCGAACGCAUAGCGAAAGGUGCUUGCACCCUUCAAGUGAGUGGCGAACGGGUGAGUAACACGUGGACAACCUGCCUCAAGGCUGGGGAUAACAUUUGGAAACAGAUGCUAAUACCGAAUAAAACUUAGUGUCGCAUGACACAAAGUUAAAAGGCGCUUCGGCGUCACCUAGAGAUGGAUCCGCGGUGCAUUAGUUAGUUGGUGGGGUAAAGGCCUACCAAGACAAUGAUGCAUAGCCGAGUUGAGAGACUGAUCGGCCACAUUGGGACUGAGACACGGCCCAAACUCCUACGGGAGGCUGCAGUAGGGAAUCUUCCACAAUGGGCGAAAGCCUGAUGGAGCAACGCCGCGUGUGUGAUGAAGGCUUUCGGGUCGUAAAGCACUGUUGUAUGGGAAGAACAGCUAGAAUAGGAAAUGAUUUUAGUUUGACGGUACCAUACCAGAAAGGGACGGCUAAAUACGUG